AUGUUAGAAGUUCAAAAGAAGGAAAAGCCAAUGACAACUCUUGUAUUGUAAUCCUGAUUUUGGGGGGAAGAUAACUAAGAGAAGGAACAGGUUUGGACAAAGGGGAGUUUUUUGAAGUGCCAUCAUACAUCUAUACGGUGAUUUAACUUAGCAAAAUGACAAGUAGGUCUGCUUUUUAAAUAAGUAAAAUCUAACAGAUGGAUGUAAAAGUGGUCUGUAUUUGCAGCCAUGGGAGAUGAGACACUCUGAGAGAGAAAAAGGCUGAAGUCCUAGGAACCUUCUGGAGAUGCUUCCAUUUACAAGAAACCGACGAGAUGAUCAAGUUUAAUAGGAUUUCAGUUCUUCUGCGUGAGCUGCCACCACAGCAAGGCAACUGACAGACAAGUGGUGUGGUUCUGCAACCAGGAAAUAAACUUGGGCCACUGAAGUGGGAGUGCUGAAUUUUAACCACUAGACCAUCAGGGCUGGCUCUCUUCUUCCUAUCCUGAAUGCCUGGUUGUGCAACAGCCAUUUUAUGACCAUGAGGCAACAGUCACACUAGAAAAUCCAAAAGAAUCAUAGAGCCUCACAGAGAUGCAGAUCCUGACCCGAGUGAGCCCCUCAACAGGAACUGGCAGCUGCCUACCUCAGUCUUCCAGUUCUCACAGCAGUCCUCUGAGGCAGCUGCUCCUCUUAUCUCCAUGUCCCAGCAAGGAGAGCCGCUCUAAAGAAGGUUGUAACCUGCCCAGAGUCACACAGCGAGUGAGCACUGGAGACGGAGUCUGAACUCGAGCCCCCUGAUUCCGUAACCAUUCCAACCCUGCUGCUGAAGAAAUGUUGGCACGUGCUCCUAGUUCCUUCUCUAAGAUAAGUUAUUAAGUAAAACAAUUGUAUAGUAUUGACAUCUGUAAUCGGAGAAACCCAGGUCCUUCAACCUCCUCAAGAACACUCCCUUCACAGAUCAAAAGAUGAUUGGCUCCUAAGUGUCAGAUGCUGAGCUGAGCACCAAGGCCGCAAAGGUAACUAAGACAUACAACCUUGCCCCCAGAGGCUGAGAGGCUCUCUACUCUCCCAGGUCUCAGUACUGCUUCAUGAAGAGGUACCACGUGGCACCCAUAGCCAUUAUACCAGGAGUUCCCUAUCAAAAUGUAACUUCUAAAAGAUUUCAUUAAACUAAAUUAAGUUGAUUGUAACUUUGAAUGAUCUCUGUUGUUAUUCUUCUCCAUAUGUCUAAAUAAUGGAAAACAACUAGGAAAAUUGAGAUCGCUAUUUUCAGUAACCUCCACAGCAGAGUUGCUAAUUACGUCAUACCUCUGCUGAAAACUUGCGUGGUUUUUCUUUCUAUUUGUUGUAUCAAUAUUCUUCGUGGAAUGGUUUCAUAGCUUCUGAUGAUAAAGCUCAUGUUUUGUUAGCACAAAACCCAUUUAUUUUAAG